GGACCUCAGAUCAGGCAAGAUUACCCGCUGAGUUUAAGCAUAUCACUAAGCGGAGGAAAAGAAACUAACUAGGAUUUCCC
rnacentral:rRNA from 2 species